GGUAUGUAAUAUGUUGCGCUAAACUAAGUGUUCCAUUUUAAGUCCAAUUCAUUAAAUGUAUGCAAUAACUUCAAACAUAUUUUUACGUCAAUGAUUAUCAAUAGGAGAAAGUCAUCGCUCUGUAAUUGGCCCUUGGACUCCCCUGGCAUCUCGUGUACAGCAUGAAGUUUUCAGCUAUGAAGAUUUCCAGAGACUCCAGAAUGAAAAACAAGCCGUGAUGGAUGAGAACCAAGCUCUGAGGGAGGAGCACCAAGCUCUGAGGGAAAGCACUGCACGAGCAGCUUCGGAUGACAGCGGCUCACUUCAAGAGCAGGUGAAGCAAGUUGGGACAAUGUUGAAGACGUUUGCUCGCACUGGGCAAUCAGGUGCAGAUCAGACCUUAAUGCUGCGACGUCUUGGAGAGUUUUGGCGAUGUUGUGCGUAGCAUGGACAACAAAAUGGACACUAUGCUGCAACAUUUCAGUGCCAAUGUGUCUGUUGGAGAGUUAUCCCUGCCAGGGGAUCUGUUACUCCCUCUAGACACCCAGGAAGAUUUGGCGUUGCUUGACAACAGUUUGAGGCAGGAUAAAGAGCUCCAGGAACGAUUUCUUCGGUUUUUUGGCAAUCAAAUGUGGGAGGGACCUAAAGAUAACCGUCUGGCGUAUGCUUCAAAGUACCUUCUCUAAUCACCUUUCCAUCAAUACAACCUGGACUGGAGUUGGGGAUAAAGCAUGUUUUAGAGACAUGUUCCUGAAGACCAUUGUUCAAAAUCUGUAUUUUCUACAGGAGCCAUCCGGAAGA